rnacentral:lncRNA from 1 species
CGUUAUAGUACAUUUUACUACAGUAAAAAAUGUUUUAAAAAAGAAAUCAUUACUCUCUUGCUAAGAUCUUGUUUCAUCUUAACACACACGAGAUGCCUUGUCUUCAUUUCGUGGACAGGCAAGGCCGAAUUCCGUUUCACAGAUAGAGGACUGAGAUCUGGAGGCAGAGGGCAGGAAUUAAAAACAAGACAAACAAGAGCCUUAUACAGGCAGUGUCUUUCUGAGUCUGAUCCCUGUUGUCUUGAGAGCUGCGGUGAGGGAAAGUCGUCUUCAGAGCCCUCAGGGUCAAAGCAGUUUGUUACCCUUGAGAUAGACAAAGCUCCUAACCUCUCCAGCUUUUUGCCGACAGCUCGAUUCUGAUGGGCACUGACCUUUUCCGACCCUGUUUUCAGGAGCCGACUCCUGGCAGGUUGGUUGUAGGGGCCCUCUUGAGUGCUUCACACACAGCAGUCCUGUUGGGCUUGGAUUCCAGCCUCAAAUUCCGCGAUUUGGCCGGCAUCCUAAUCCCCGAGUGACUCUUGCCAACCACUCUCUGUGGGGCCUGUGUGCUUCCUCCUGGGUUCUGGGGCGCUGGCGGCGUCCGCUUCACCGGGAACGGGAGCCCCAGCCUCCCGAGGCCUUCCUGCCUGGCUCUGGGAAUGGCCACUGUCCAGAAAGCCCCGCGGCCGUCCAUGCUCGCUCGCUCAGUCAGGCCCUUGUGGGGAUAUUGCAGAACGAGUCCGAGUUACUAUCCCUUUA